rnacentral:rRNA from 1 species
GAAAUUUAACGGAUUUGGCGGCAAGAUAGCCCCUUAGAGGAACCUGCCCUGUAAACGAUGAACCACGAGGGACUCUACUUUCUUUGGUAGUCAGUUUGUAUAUCGCUGUUGUCAGUUAGAUUCUUGAGAAUAUUUUCGUUUAUGAAAAGUUCAUUGACUUCAAGUAAAGGUGCAGCUUAUAAGGAAGAUAGAGGUGGGUUACAUUUAUGAGAAUAAAACGGAAAGGAUGGAUGAAACAAUCCUAGAAGGUGGAUUUAACUGUAAAACUUAAGUAGGUUUGGUGAGAGCUCUAUCUUGUGUACACACCGCCCGUC